rnacentral:rRNA from 1 species
UACGUAGGGGGCAAGCGUUGUCCGGAUUUAUUGGGCGUAAAGAGCGUGUAGGCGGCCAUGUAGGUCCGUUGUGAAAACUCGAGGCUCAACCUCGAGACGCCGAUGGAAACCAUGUGGCUAGAGUCCGGAAGAGGAGAGUGGAAUUCCUGGUGUAGCGGUGAAAUGCGCAGAUAUCAGGAAGAACACCCGUGGCGAAGGCGGCACGCUGGGCCGGCCCUGACGCUGAGGCGCGAAAGCGUGGGGAGCGAACGGG